CCGACGCGGGACCCACUGCCACGUCCGUCUUCAAUCGUCGUUUUCAAGCCUCAGCACAACGCAAGCACGAAUAAUGUAGUCAGUUUCUGGCAUUUCAUCCCCAAUUGAUUCCGGGCGUUUUACUGCACCAAUCGUUGCACCGUUUGUUGCUACUUAAGCUCCACACCUUUCUCUUCAUUUUCCCCCAAACGGCACAUCCUGAGAGCCUCCAGGCUGCUCGAAUUCGAGUUCGAAAGUCCGCAGCACCGUCACGGUAAAUCGUCGAUUGCGCGACGACGGCAUUUUCAUCUCCGAGCUGUUCGUGGGAAAGUUUAUUUUUUCGGCGAGCGGUUUCGCGAGAAGUACGGUACGUAGAAGGCGACUCGGGAAGCUCGUCGUCCACGUCUUCGUCCAUCUCCGUUCCCGACAACAGUAUCGAUCACAUUCGCGCUAUUGAUUGUGGUUGCUCUGAUUGCAACGAGUAUUUUUGCGAAGAGUGUACCAACUCCUCCCCUCGCUAAGGCAAG